rnacentral:rRNA from 1 species
UACAGAGGGUGCGAGCGUUGUCCGGAAUCACUGGGCGUAAAGGGCGCGUAGGUGGCGCUGCAAGUCGGUGGUGAAAGCUCGCCGCUUAACGGCGAGUCGGCCAUCGAAACUGCAGGGCUCGAGCACUGUAGGGGCUAAUGGAAUUCCGGGUGUAGCGGUGGAAUGCGUAGAGAUCCGGAAGAACACCAGUGGCGAAGGCGGUUAGCUGGGCAGUUACUGACACUGAUGCGCGACAGCGUGGGGAGCAAACAGG